rnacentral:rRNA from 1 species
CUACGGGUUGCAGCAGUGGGGAAUCUUAGAUAAUGGGCGCAAGCCUGAUCUAGCCAUGCCGCGUGAGUGACGAAGGCCUUAGGGUCGUAAAGCUCUUUCGCUGGGGAAGAUAAUGACGGUACCCAGUAAAGAAACCCCGGCUAACUCCGUGCCAGCAGCCGCGGUAAUACGGAGGGGGUUAGCGUUGUUCGGAAUUACUGGGCGUAAAGCGCGCGUAGGCGGAUCAGAAAGUUGGGGGUGAAAUCCCGGGGCUCAACCCCGGAACUGCCUUCAAAACUCCUGGUCUUGAGUUCGAGAGAGGUGAGUGGAAUUCCGAGUGUAGAGGUGAAAUUCGUAGAUAUUCGGAGGAACACCAGUGGCGAAGGCGGCUCACUGGCUCGAUACUGACGCUGAGGUGCGAAAGCGUGGGGAGCAAACAGGAUUAGAUACCCUAGUAGUC